rnacentral:rRNA from 1 species
UACGGGGGGGGGCAAGCGUUGUUCGGAAUUACUGGGCGUAAAGGGCUCGUAGGUGGCCAACUAAGUCAGACGUGAAAUCCCUCGGCUUAACCGGGGAACUGCGUCUGAUACUGGAUGGCUAGAGAUUGGGAGAGGGAUGUGGAAUUCCUGGUGUAGCGGUGGAAUGCGCAGAUAUCAGGAGGAACACCAAUAGCGAAGGCAGCUCGCUGGGACGGUACUGACGCUGAGACGCGAAAGCGUGGGGAGCGAACAGG